rnacentral:rRNA from 1 species
CCUACGGGUGGCAGCAGUGAGGAAUAUUGGUCAAUGGCCGGAAGGCUGAACCAGCCAAGCCGCGUGAAGGACGACUGUGCCAAGCAUUGUAAACUUCUUUUGUCAAGGGACAAAAUCAGGCUCGAGAGCCUGACCAAGGGUACUUGAAGAAAAAGCAUCGGCUAACUCCGUGCCAGCAGCCGCGGUAAUACGGAGGAUGCGAGCGUUAUCCGGAUUUAUUGGGUUUAAAGGGUGCGUAGGCGGACUGUUAAGUCAGCGGUAAAAGUCCGGGGCUCAACCCCGGCAAGCCGUUGAAACUGGCUGUCUUGAGAUGUCGAGAGGUAUGCGGAAUGCGCGGUGUAGCGGUGAAAUGCUUAGAUAUUGCGCAGAACUCCGAUUGCGAAGGCAGCAUACCGGCGGCGAUCUGACGCUGAGGCACGAAAGCGUGGGUAUCGAACAGGAUUAGAUACCCGGGUAGUC